UAUGGCCACAUCAUAUUGAAACACUGGUUCCUGUACAAUCACCAAAGUUAAGCAACAUCAAGCCUGGUCAGUACCUAGAUAGAUGACCACUUGGGAAUAUCAGGUGCUGUAAG